GCCCGUUUAGCUCAGUAGGCAGAGCGUUCGUCUCAUAAUGAAAGUAUAGUAUGUAGAGAAAGCGAAAGGCCGUCAGUUCGAUCCUGACAGUGGGCA
rnacentral:tRNA from 1 species